GGCGGCCGGAUAGCUGCGUCUUGGAAAGGAAAAUCCAAAGAUGAGGAAAGUCCGGGCUUCAAGGGAACAGAAUACCAGAUAACGUCUGGCUGGAGAAAUCCAAGGGAAAGUGCCGCAGAAAACAUACCGCCCCGCAUGCGGGGUAAGGUUGAAAAGGCGAGGUAAGAGCUCACCGCAAAGGCAGUAAUGUCUUUGGCAGGGCAAACCCUGUUCGAAGCAAGACCAAGUUAGGAGGGCUUCUUUUUAUGAGAAUGUCAUACGGAGGGUUCCCAAUCCGCUCCAGAGGUAGGUCGCACGAGCCGUCAGGAGACUGUCGGCCUAGAUGAAUAGCUAUCGCUUUCGCCUUUGCUUUCCGGCAAAGGGGAUGAAAGUACAGAACUCGGCUUAUAGGCCGCCUGA
rnacentral:RNase_P_RNA from 1 species